rnacentral:misc_RNA from 1 species
UCUCCGUAGGUGAACCUGCGGAGGGAUCAUUACUGAGUGAGGGUCUCCGGGCCCGACCUCCAACCCUUUGUCGAACUUACCUUGUUGCCUCGGGGCGCGCCUUCGCGGACGGCCCCAGAGGACCAACCAUCAAAACCCUGCGUAACUAAGUCGUCGGAGUUUAAACAAAUUAAACAAAACUUUCAACAACGGAUCUCUUGGUUCGGGCAUCGAUGAAGAACGCAGC